GCAAAAAAAUGCAGAAUCGUUAUUAAACAUAGACAGGCGUGGCGAUGAAUCGAAGGAAAUGAUACGUACGAGAGUCGCGAAGGCAAACCAAUGAUGAAGGAUUGAAAAAGCGUCAUGGACAAUUAGUCGAGCUUUCUAAUACAAUCGAAGAAGCGUUAUCGAAAAUCCGCGCGACAAUUCCGUUAGCGAGGCUCUACGUGCUCGUCUCCCGCCAUUGAGAUUAAUCCACCGAUAACGAAUCCCUACGUGAGAAUCAUUCGAAAUGACCGAAUUAUUAGCGGGACGUGUCCUGCGUCGUUCGAAAGAAACGCUCGAGAUUUUUUCUAGACGAAACCUAUUUGAGAUUCGAUUAAUCGAACGGAAAUAUUUUACUCCGCAGCAAGUUUACGUUAUGUGUUCAUCCCGAUUUAGCUGAGUUAGCUUUGUCGUUCCCCAGUUUUACAGCAUUUUUCAUUUAACGAUGAAAUCGCAAAAGACCUUCCUCCCGAAAGCAAUAUGCUAUAUUUUUUUAAUCCGUCGUAAAUUCACCUGAGAUCGUUCGAAGCGAAUUCUUUUCCCAAUUAAUUUUUUAAGUAAUUAUAGAGCGCACCACUUGUUCCCUAACACCACGUAUUUUUCAAUAGAUUACAGUGAAACCAUAACUUAAAAUUUCUCAUCAGAAUCCCGUUAUAAUUUUCUUCGACAGUUAAGAGAAAGAAAAAGAGAGAUAGAUUAAUUAAACAUUUAUUGUUGUCCUAGAACAUGCCUUCUAAGAAUAUACAUAUAAAAAUUUUAAAAACAAUAAAUAAAUAGGAUAAUGCAAUUGAAAUAAAGUACGGUACAAUAAAUUUAAAAAAUCAAUGAAAUAAAAAAAAAUAGAACUUAAUAAAAUAAAUAAGAAAAAGAAAUUUACAUAGUGAAGAGCAACGAAACAAAGAGAUAACAGAAAAGCACGAGAAAGAAACAAAGAAGAUUAAAAUAAAACAGAGAAAGAGAGGAAUUUCCGCGUAAAUAAACCGCGUAAAAUGUGCGCAGAUUGAUAUUUCGCCGCGAUAAUGUCGUCGUUGAUUAAACGAAGCGUGAAUCCCAUAUCACGCGUGCGUCGACGAUGACGGGACGAUUUUAAUUGGCUGUCAGCCGCGCGCGAUAGGUCGAUAGAUAGUAGCUUUGGCGUUCUAAAGACUACAUAAUAUGUACAAGACGAUUAUACGCAUACGCGCGUACACGUUUGAGCAUAACGUGGAAGAUAUAGUUGGGCUCUCGUCGCGGUUACAUAUCGGUCGUCUCGUCCGCUUAUUUCGGCCACGCUGAUCUCUGUCAUCGAGAGCGGCCGUCCUCCCGGGCCAGCUGGCAAUGGGCCCGCGCAGCCCCGUUUCACCCUUUUCCGCCACGCGCGAUGACGCAAUCCGGUGCACGUGGAGCGAGCAUUUUAUUUUCGUAGCGAUCGCACGUCCUCGCCACGCGCCGCGCUGCGCCGCGCCGGUCGGCAGCUGUUCGGCGGGAAAGCGUGCGUAUGGGGGAGAAAAAAAACGCACGCGGAAUCCUCUCGAAUUUAGCUCCGAUAAAGAUCGAGAUCCGUUCGAGCGAAUGCUCGAAAUAAAUACACAGAAGUUUCACUGUUGACUCCGAAGUUUAAUAACUUCUCCGCGUAUCUCCUCGCCUUGAAGUACAAGCGAGUCUAACUUUGCGAAAUUCCGACGUAUCUCUGGGAAAAAUAGUUUUCCCGAAAUACGGUUAUAAAAAACGAUUAUAACCCAUUUCGGGGUUCAUAAUUAAAUAAUCAAAUUAUUUGGAUAAGUAAAAAUUAUAUUUGCGUAAUUGGAUAUCAACUAUAUAAUUGCCUUUAAAUAUUUUUAGAAUUAGAAAAAAUCGAUUUCUCACGCGAAUAUGGUAAUUACAGUGCUGGUAUUUCUAAGAUCACGUUUUGAUCCAAUUACCAUGAUAUUCUUACCCUGUCACCUUAUGUAAACUAAAUAACGUAUUACUGUCUCAUUUCAUUGUUCAAUUGAGCAGACAUUGAUUAAAAAAUAGAAAAUGUACAAAUCUCCUAGCAACCGCUAAGUAAUGUCAAUCAUAAUUUAACCGAAGAAAAGAAAUCCCGGAGCAAAUGUCUAUUUUAGUAGAUGUUCGAUGCAUUUUGCAUCAGUCAACUGUUACGAGACGCGGCGGCGGAAGGGAUUGAAAAACUGCGGCAAAAAGAGAAAGGAUUUGCAUGCAAAUCGGUCCGCGCGUCUUUCUCGCGCCGAUUCAAUGGUAUCUCGGUACACGUUUUUCAUUCCCCAAGCGAUUCGCGAUUUAUGUCGCACGGGGGACGCGUCCCUUCCACAUCCUCCGGCAAUAGCGAAUAGAGAUAAGCUUUCGCUCAUCGCCACCUGAUCGUCAUUCGCGGAGAUACCCGCGGUAACGCCGGUAGCGUCCGUGAUUUAUGCCCCUAAACAAGUAGCACGUGUAUCCGGACGUGAAUUUAUAUUUAUAGGACGACGGAGCGCGUGAACGUGGCACUCGCGCGGCUUCGCGUGCGAGUACCUCGUCUACGAAGACAAUCGAUUUGCAUUUAACAACGGAGGGGAGAAGAGGAGCAGGGAGAGAGGAAGGAAGACGUCUGAAGUGGCUGGCCUCUUCGCGAAAUGCUAAUUUCAUUGUCCCGAGACGAGACUCUACAAGCAAGUCGAUAUACUGAAAGAAAGGCCAUACUUUGGAUGCAAAGAUACUAAAAAUGGCAACUCCCUAGGGCUAGUUCACCUUGUAAGUGUCUCGGUACUCGAACAUCUUGUUUGCUCAAGUGGCUACUACUCGCCUCUUUAUCGUCGAUUAUUCAGGAUCUUAUUCUCUUGUAAGUAUAUCAGUCUCGACAAACUGCUUGUCAAUAAAUAUAUAUAUCAUCACUAGGUACCUCAUUAUUGCCAUACUGUUUAUUUGCUGAAUUAUCGUUUAUUACGUCAUUUUGCGACGCUAAAACUAAGCAAAGGUCAAUCCCGUGAAAAUGAUAAAAAUACCGAUUACUAAUGACGUUGUUACAUAGGUAUUCUUAAAAUAACUUGGAAAAUUGCCUGUCAUCGGAUAGACGACUUUUGAGAAGAGUAAAAAUGACUUUAGUUCUAUAAUGGACCGAAUCUCUGGGAAUAUACAUUUAGUGUGGCGAGACUCUCGAACUGACUGCGGAUAAAGUUUCUUUCCAAGUUUCUUUCAUUCAAACAACUAAAGUCCAGCACAUCGAAAAUAGCCCAUAACUACCUGACGCCGCCGUGGAAAAACAUCACGAGAAAACGAGCCGGAAUUAAAUCGAUAUUAAAGAUUAUUUCUUAUGGGAUACGCUUUCCCGUCGUACGUGUCGCUGCCCAGGCGAUCCGAAUUAAAAAGUUUGCUAGAAAGACUAUAGCGAGGAAGACCUGGGAAUUCUGCAGCUGGACAACAACGGAAUGAGGGAUACUUAGAUCUAUUCUUGACCAUCUCUCCGCGGUCGUGAGGCGAUUGCGUCGAGCGAGAGCUCGCAAUGUGCCGAGUAUCAUGCCCGUUUCACCAUGUCACUCCGGGCAAUUCGUGUCCCUUCUUGAAUAAAAUGUUAUUAACCACUUA
rnacentral:lncRNA from 1 species